GCGUCUUCAAGCGCCCUCUUUACGUUCGUCCUAAUGGCUGUUAGUUGUCCGUGGAUUGGCCUAUAUGUAUGUGUGUGUGUGUGUGUGUGUGUGUGUGUGU